GAAAAAAGUGACAUUUUAUGUCUAGAAAGUCACUUUUCAUCAAAAGUACAAUGACGAAACUAGUUCCCAUUCAUCCUGUGUUCACAAACACACUUGUGCUCUUUAUACACUCAAAACGCUAUACAGCGAUUGAGAAGGCGCUAGGAGUAAAGGAAAGUGGUUUUUCCAACAAACUCAUAUAAUCAAUUGCCCGACCUACUCCCGUAUGAUAUUUUUCACAUAUUUACACAUAAUAUAGUACUAUGAAAUGUUUCUGACCUAAAAUAUUACGAAAUAUGAUUGUUUACAUUAAAAUGUAAAAGUUGAUGAUAAAGUGUGCUAAGGUGAAAAAAGUGACAUUUUAUGUCUAGAAAGUCACUUUUUAUCAAAAGUACAAUAACAAAAUUAGUUCCCAUUCAUCCUGUGUCCCCUUACACACUUGUGCUCUUUAUCCGCUCAAAACGCUAUACAGCGAACGAGAAGGCGCUAGGAGCAAAGGAAAGUGGUUUUUCUAGCAAACUCAUAUAAUCAGUUGCCCGACCUACUCCAAUUUGAUUCUUUUCACAUAUUUAGACAUAAUAUAGUACUAUGCAAUGUUUCUGACCCAAAAUAUUACGAAAUAUGAUUGUUUACAUUAAAGUGCAAAAGUUGAUGAAAAUGUAUGAUAAGGUGAAAAAAAGUGACAUUUUAUGUCUAGAAAGUCACUUUUCAUCAAAAGUACAAUACAAAA
ensembl:lncRNA